rnacentral:RNase_P_RNA from 1 species
ACAGUGGAAUGGCUUGUCGCUCGUCACCUGGCAACGGGUAUCGAGAGGAAAGUCCGGGCAACACAGAGCAUCACAUUUCUUAACGGGAAGCUGUGGGUGACUGCAGGGUUCAGGUGACAGAAAACAACCGCCGGCAUUGCCGGUAAGGGUGAAAAGGCGGGGUAAGAGCCCACCGGGCACGAUGGUGACACCGUGUGCCGCACUACCUGUGAGUUGCAAGGUCAAGUAUAUCGGCAUUUAAGGGCUGCUCGUCCAUUGCCGAGGGGUAGACUGCUAUAUCAUGCCAGCAAUGGCAUGGACAGAUAAAUGACAGGCGGUUGCCUCACGGGGCAACUACAUAACCCGGCUUAUAGUUCCACUGUCUUU